UUUCCCUACGGGGGGCAGCAGUGAGGCCUCUUGGUCCCUGUUCGCGCGCCUGAACCAGCCAAGUAGCGUGAAGGAUGACUGCCCUACGGGUUGUAAACUUCUUUUAUAAAGGAAUAAAGUGAGGCACGUGUGCCUUUUUGUAUGUACUUUAUGAAUAAGGAUCGGCUAACUCCGUGCCAGCAGCCGCGGUAAUACGGAGGAUCCGAGCGUUAUCCGGAUUUAUUGGGUUUAUAGGGAGCGUAGAUGGGUUGUUAAGUCAGUUGUGAAAGUUUGCGGCUCAACCGUAAAAUUGCAAUU
rnacentral:rRNA from 1 species